AAGUUAUAUUGGAUAAAAGAAAGUUUUGAAAACUUUUAAAAAGUGUUCGAUUCACUUAUAGCUUU
rnacentral:tRNA from 1 species